GCAGCAGCUCAGAACUGUGACUAUUAUUUUUUAUAGAACUAAAUAUUUUAUUUUUAAGUCGAAAAGCAUUUCGUUGCUAUACCUCUAUAGUCAGCGUAUGUGUUAAUACAUAUAUCUUAAAUAUAUAGUUAUAGAUAGAUAGAUAGAUAGAUAGAUAGAUAGUCUAGAAAAUGUUCAAUGAAGAUAGCAACAAUUGUUCUUUUUAAUUUUCUUGCAUGUGUGUAUGCACGUCUUAAAUAAAGCUUUCAGUAUAUAAAUUAGACUGAGCGCACUCAUCAACACAUUUUAUUUAUCCAGCUUUAGUAAGCAUACUUAUAUUAUGGAUGGAUUUCAGUUUCUAGAAGUUGUGCAAGUCAAACGAGUAGUAAAGGAAUAAAGGAAAGAUCACUCUGCUGAUAGUCCACGAGAAAACAUAAGAGUAAUGUUCACACGACGGAUGACUGGCUGCGCGCUUGACUGUCGUUUAAAUUUAUUAAGCCCUGCCCACUCCCAUCCCACUAUAUCCAGCGGGAGAUUUGGAAUAGGAACUAAUCUAAGACGACAACAAGAAUGAGUUCAUUCGAUGGAUCUCAUGAUUCGAAAUGUCAAGUAUUUCCAACCAGUGACCUACAAUUUAGUCCACUUAGCUGACACAAAAAGUAUUGAUCGCUCACGAUACCAUCACAAUGACGUUAUGUAUACACUUUAAGAAAACUUUCCCAAGCAGAUAAAAUCAAGUGUGGACUGAGACUAAAACUCAGAACGGAAGUGACAUCUUACAACACUUUGACCUUUGUCCUCAGACUUGUAGGAAGAACAAAGAUGUUGAGAUAAGACACAUACUAUAUAAACGUAGAGGUCAUCAAUCUAGUCUCAAUGCCAUGGUUGUUAACUCUUACAUACUACUAGAAACUUUGAGUAUACCCGCCCAAACUAUUGAAGUCUGACUUGCUAUCCUCGUCUGUUAGUUUACAUUGACUUUGAUACUUACGUUAAGCACAUCUGGGCUCUCUAUUACCUUAUAUGAUUAGGACUUACAUUAUGGAUGGAACUGAACUUCAGGAAAAUUUACAUACAUCAAUAUCUAGACUGUGUACGAUGUUGAAGGAAUUAAGUGAAAAAACUGUUGGACUGGAGGCGAAAAUUGGUAUUGUGAGGUCGUCGUCACCGUUGAGAUGCUGAUCAACAUGUGCACGUGAAUGGUAGUAAGAUAAUUUGACAUCAAGAUGUUGCUGUAAGAGAGACGAAUCUCUUAUUGGUCCCAGUGACGUCAUCAAGCAGAAAGAGAUCAGCAGUGACGAUCAAAACGCUGGAGAGGAGACAAAAGGUAAAUAUUUACAAUUGUUUGUGAACUGUCAAAGUAACGGAAAGAAAGAAAAAAGAAUGGAGAUCCAUUCAUUGAUUUCAAAACUUUGAGAUGGAUAUUUUAGCUCAAUGACAUAAGAUAUUAACAUUUUUCAAAAGAACAAAAAACAAGAUUACAAAGAGAGAUUGUGUUAUCACACAAACUCAGAGGCGGCCCCCGUCGGAGUCGGAUCCCUGUUGGAUCUGCCUAUUCGCAUAGAGGUAAUUUAAUUUUGAUGGUCAAAAGUAAUAAUGUUUCAAAGAUUCAUUUGCCGUUGUAAAAAUGUUGUUGUUUUUUUGUUUUCCAUGUUUCGGGUGUUCGUUCUAAGUUUAAAAUAAUUAACUUCUCGCUGCUCCUACCCCAGUCGUCCUACGGGAGGUUUGGACUAGGAAGUAAACUAUCUUCAACUCUGAAGGAACAUCCGAAACAUGUAAAACAAACAAACAACCCGGGACCGUAGAGAUAAUUAGUUCAGCACGCUAACAGCACGACCAGGCACUGCUCUUAACUUAAUAAUAAACUAAUAGCCUAUUAUUGAUAAAGAGAUAUAUUACACAUUACGACAUGACAUCUAUCGUAUAAUGUCAGAUGAGCGAUUUUGUAAUUGUGAUUUGAUUUGUAAUUAAAAAAACAAAAAAAGAAAAGAACAGAUAUAUAGUGCUUGUACUUCGAUGUCUCAGCAUAGUUAGCCCUAUCAACAGAGAUAUUGGCAUUUUUAUUUAAAUGGAACUAGAAUGAGGAUGUAGAUCUACCUAAAUUAAACUUCUGAUUUAGCACUCUUAAGAUCUAUAUCUACUAGAUCUAGAUCUAAAAUACGAACUCAAAUAAUGUAGCUGUAAUCUAUCAAUAGACUGAAUGCAACAUUAAAUUUAAAAAUAGUAGAUUUGUUUUAGCAUAUUAUAACAUUACAAUAUUGAUCAAAACGUUUGAAAAUCAAAAUCUACACUUUAAGUCUCGAAAUUGAAAUUCUACAUCUUAAUCUAGUCUAUUUUAGUCUAAACUAGAUCUAGAAAUUCUAGAUCUAGACUCUAAAAUAAUUUAAAUUAGAAUAUAAAUCCAGAUCUAGAUAUACUGUAAUAAAAAUCUAGAUCUAGUUUAAAAAAUCUAGAUUAGAUCCAAAUCAAGAUAUCAUUCCUUUUUUAAACGCGAGUCACAUAACGAGGCUUAAUAAACAUUACUAUACCGAGUUCUUUUAUCAUUUCAUUUGAAGAAUUAAUUCCAUAUGACGUCAAACGAAAAAAAAAAAAAAACGCUACGUCACUAAAAAACGCCUUCAUCAAUACGAGCCAUUUAUCGAGUGUUCAUAGACAUUGGUGCACCGAGUGCGUUCUUUUAGCAUUUCAUUUAAAGAAUUCAUUCCAUAUGACGUCAAAGGAAAAAAACACUACGUCACACGGCCUAGCUAGACUAAAAAACGCCUUCAUCAAUACGAGCCAUUUAUCGAGUGUUCAUAGACAUUGGUGCACCGAGUGCGUUCUUUUAGCAUUUCAUUAAAAGAAUUCAUUCCAUAUGACGUCAAAGGAAAAAAAAACACGUCACACGGCAUAGCUAGACUAAAAAUCGCCUUCAUUAAUACGAGCCAUUUAUCGAGUGUUCAUAGACAUUAGUGCACCGAGUGCGUUCUUUUAGCAUUUCAUUUAAAGAAUUCAUUCCAUGUGACGUCAAAUGAAAAAAAAAAACAACACUACGUCACACGGCUUAGUUAGACUAAAAAAUGCCUUUAUCAAUACGAGCAAUUUUUCGAGGGUUAAUAGACAUUGGUGCACCGAGUGCGUUCUUUUAGCAUUACAUUUAAAGAGUCCAUUCAUAUGACGUCAAAGAAAAAAAAAUUCCAUUACCUCACAAUAGGCUAGUACCGGUACCAUAAAAACUGUCUUUAUUUACACGAGAUAUUUAAUGAGGGUUCAUAGACAUUGGGGCACUGAGUUCUAAUAGAAUUUAUUUAAAGAAGGUCAAAACCGCAUUGUUUUUGCGUUUUGUCUGUCAGUCGGUCUGUCCGUCAUCUUAAUAAAAAAAACAACUAAAAGCUAUUAAAAAUUGAUUAACCUUUAUUUUACGUUUCAAAACAUCGCAAUAAUUUUAGGUAUGAACACAAUUGAUUUAAGUUUAUAUAAUAUAUUGUUCCGGAUGUUUUUAUAAAUAGUAAAAGAAAAAGAGAAUUCCAGAUAAAUGUAAUACCGUUAAUUAAAUUUUUUGGAUGGUCUCGUAUAAAAAUUAGAUGUACCACAGCCUUGUGGAGAGAUUUUCAUACCUUACUUUAGUGUUUUUGGAUGUUGUUUUCCUUAAAAUCGGAACAUAAUAUUAAAGAUAAUUAGAUUUUUUUAUGGUUUAGGUAGAAAAUUAAUUGUACUGUAAGAGAGAAGUGAGUUAAAAUAUUUGUCAUAAAAAUUCGGAACAACUUUUUUUCGUAAAUGAGAAGAUUGUUUGUUUAUUAAUUAGAAGAGGGAGUUCAAACAGUUAUUUGUUAUUAGAUUUUUAAAUAAAUUAGGAAAUUUUGGCGACGAUUUGUAAGAAAAUGCAAGUAAUGUAAGUCGAUUUCUUUUCAAAACAAAAUCCGGAACAUUCUUUAUAGAUUAAAAAACUUUUAUGUUAUGUUUCAGCAAGAAAAUUAAAUGUCUAAAAAUGUGAUUUUCAGUAAUCAAUUCUAGUAAAUUACUUUUUUUUAAAGCCCUGAACAACCUAUUGUCGACAUUUUAAAAAUUUGUUUAAAGAUGAAAAUACGGAACAAUUUGAUAUCGAUAAUCAAAUUAUAGUGACGCAUUGUCAAAUAAUAUAAGUGUACUAUUAGUCAAUUAUGCGAUUUCAAACAAUCAUUAGACAUAAUUCAUUUUUUAUAAAACAAUAUCCGGAACAUUUUUACACUUAAUGAAAUAUAAGUCAGUAUAGAGAUUUUGAUUUAGCAUUAAUAUGCUAUUUACAUAAAAAACGGAACAACAUAUUAUUGAUAAUGUGUUUUGCAACGUUAAAGUGUGGGAAUUGAAUGUAAUAUAGAUUAGAAUAGCAAACAAACAAAAAAGUCCAUUUUAAAAAAUGUGCGUGAUAUUUACAUACAAAGUGCAUUCUUAGCCUUUAUAAACAAACAUAAAUGUUUUCUUUUAAUUUUAGCAGCUAGAUGACCAGAAAAAACACCUUUUAUUAAUGCUUAUAUUUGUUGUAAACAUUUCUAGUACAUUUUAUAAAAAUAUUUGACUUAAUAAUACUGACAAUACACAUUAACUGUACAUCCUUGUUAGCAUAUUGUAACAUUGCCUCCCUUACAUUUACGUUAUUGUUUUAGAAUUGGUGUAUUUUUAUGAAAAAAUUGCUUGUUUAAAAAAUUAAACGGUUUGCUUUUAGAAAACCAAAAGUAGCCUUUACACCUAAACUUUUCAAGCCGCAUUUAACGGUGAAAUAAUAUUUUUCAUAUUUUUUCUAGUUUUGAGAUCUGAGUGUGACAGACGGACAUUUUGCACAAACCUAAUAGCGGCUUUUUCCCCUUACGGGGGCCGCUAAAAAAAAAGCUACAUUAAAUCCGAUGUUUGCGUGUUCUAUCAGUUAUUUCAGUGUGAAAGUGAAUAGAAAAUAUUUGAAAUGCUAGUAAGAACAGUUGGGGUAAGACAAGGUUGCCUACUUUCACUAACACUCUUCAAUAUCUUCCUUGAAAGGAUAAUGGAAGAUGCUCUCGAGGGCUUUUAAGGUACUGUUAGCAUUGGAGGAAGAAGAAUCACUAACUUUCGCUUUGCAGAUGACAUUGAUGGCCUAGCAGGGACAGAAGAAGAACUAGCUGACCUGGUGAUGCGCAUUGACAAGACUUCUGCAGCAUAUAGGAUGCAAAUAAAUGCAGAAAAAAAACGAAAAUUAUGACCAAUUGCCAACAGGGUUUUUAAAGAAGCAUCAGUAUUGGCGGGGGAAAAGCUAACUAGCUUUAGCAGCUUCAAAUACCUCGGAGCUAGUGUCUUAGAUGAGGGAACAAAACCCGAACUAUUGGCCCGAAUAACACAGUCCACAGCAGCGCUUUCAAAACUUAAAAUAAUAUGGAAAGACAAAGGCUUGGCCCUCGGCACCAAAAUCAGACUGAUGCGCUCCCUGGUCAUGGCCACAUUUUUAUAUGCGUAUGAGUCUUGGACGCUGACUGCAGAGCUAGAGAGGAGGAUCCUAGCAAUGAAAUUGAGAUGCUACAGAAGGAUCCUAGGCAUCACAUUCAAAGACCGCACACAAACCAAGAGAUUAGAGACAGGGUUACUGCAGCGAUCGGACCCCUUGAUGACCUGCUAACUACUGUGAAAAAACGCAAGCUUUAAAUCUACGUCCAUAUUACAAGAUCUUCGGGGCUCGCAAAGACCUUCCUUCAGGGAACAGUACCAGGAAAAAGAAGAAGAGGCAGAAAGAGAAAGCGAUGGUAGGUCAACAUGAAAGAAUGGACGGGCCUGCCAUUGAAAGAGAUUCUAAACAGGGCAAAGGACAGAGAGGAAUGGAGAAAGACGGUCGACUAGUCCAACAGACUAAGGGAUAGGUAAAGGUAAAGGUAAGUGAGAGAAUGCAUUUAGGACAUUGUGUAAAGAAGUAUAUUUAAGAGAGUGUUACAAUGGAAGUAGUUCUGUGUGCAUGUAUAAUAUAUUGCGUAUAUUGUUUUCGGUCAAAGCAAUAUAAGAUCAAAGUAGUUACAUGUAACUAUUUACGGGUAUCAGUGAAUGUGAAUAAAUGUAAGUAUAAUAUAUAUUUGUUAAAAGUAAAUUAACUAAGGUACACUUUUCAGACGUUACGAUCUAUAAAGCAGAGUAUUAAAAUGACUGUUUCAAGAGCCGAUUUCAUUUAGCACAACCUCUUUAGAGCUCAUUAAUUUCUUUUUACUUUUACUUUGACAAAGAAAAAUUAAAACGUGACUUUGCGACUAACUUACCUUCUGACACAAAGGGUGAUUUUACUAAAAUUAUAAUGUGUAUGUCAUUUAACAUAGAAAAAAGUUAUUGGUUUUGUACUUUGCACCAUUCUUCUUUUAUGAUGUUCACGUUUUGCAAAAGCGAUCACUUUUCUGACUUUUCUCUAACUAAUAAACUAGAGAUCAGUGUUCACCUUUAACCCAUGAAGAAAUUUGCAGCUUAUUGUAGCAUUUGUUACAGAGAAAUCGUUCAGUUUUUGGUGCACACAUAAAAUGAUUUAUUGAAUUCAGUAUCUCUUUAAAAUAUGUAGGUCACAGCUGGGGCUGCGCAUCCACGGGAAAUACUGUAUUCCUCACUAAUCUUCGGACUCGAAGACAAGCCUUAUAUAUAUAUAUAUAUCUUUAACAAAAACAAGAAAAAAAAACGAUGAAUGUCAUCCAAAACGUAUCGCAAACCUUGCCUCUAAUUUAUGCGGGUGGAAUGAGCAUGUCCGAAUUAUGGUUUCGGGAAUCUGAUCUUUCAUAGUUUUUAAGUUUGACAUGUUUCGGGUGUUUCCCUCAGAAAGCAGAUUCUUACAUCCAAGCCUAAAUUCCUACAGGAUGACGGGGUACUGUGAAGCCAAAAACAUCGUGUGGUCCACGACAAUUCGUUCACACGACUAUUUGUUUAUACGACUAUUCCUUCACACAACUAUUGGUUCAAAGACAACUUGUUCACCGACAAAUGGUUUUACCGACAAAUCGUUCACUGGAUAGUAACAUUGUUAAUAUUAUAAUUUCAUCGAGUGUUUAAUUUUAUUACAUUAAAAGUACUUACAGGGGAGGGAUACAUUAUCUUUGUAACUUUUGUUGCAAUCAUUUCCAUUCCAAAUGAUUUUACUUUAUAAUGACAUCUAUUUAAGUAUUUAUUAUUAAAAAAUUAAUAGUUUGUUAAACACAUCUGCCAAGUUUUAAAUUUGCUUUGAAAAUCUAUUACAGAAAUUGCUGAUAAAGUAAUCUGUCAGUCCAAAGACUUGUGUAAUGUUGACAAUUCUCACGUAGUUGGUCACCACGAACUAGAGAUCUCUGAAGGUGGAGAAGCUGAUCUACACAAACAUAUGUCUGAAUGUAAGAAGAAUCCAGAUCAUC